rnacentral:rRNA from 1 species
UGGGGAAUAUUGCACAAUGGGCGCAAGCCUGAUGCAGCCAUGCCGCGUGUGUGAAGAAGGCCUUCGGGUUGUAAAGCACUUUCAGCGGGGAGGAAGGCGGUGAGGUUAAUAACCUCAUCGAUUGACGUUACCCGCAGAAGAAGCACCGGCUAACUCCGUGCCAGCAGCCGCGGUAAUACGGAGGGUGCAAGCGUUAAUCGGAAUUACUGGGCGUAAAGCGCACGCAGGCGGUCUGUCAAGUCGGAUGUGAAAUCCCCGGGCUCAACCUGGGAACUGCAUUCGAAACUGGCAGGCUAGAGUCUUGUAGAGGGGGGUAGAAUUCCAGGUAUAGCGGUGAAAUGCGUAGAGAUCUGGAGGAAUACCGGUGGCGAAGGCGGCCCCCUCGACGAAGACUGACGCUCAGGUGCGAAAGCGUGGGGAGCAAACAGG